GUCAAGAUGGCCGAGUGGUUAAGGCGCCAGACUUAAGAUAUAAAAUCAAAUAAUAGAUUAAUAGGUAAUCUUGUGAAAUCCGUUAUUUGGCAUUCUGGUCUUCGAGAAAGGCGUGAGUUCGAACCCCACUCUUGACA
rfam:Daphnia pulex DAPPTscaffold_499_Cont9816, whole genome shotgun sequence.